AGAGUUUGAUCAUGGCUCAGAAUCAACGCUGGCGGCGUGCCUAACACAUGCAAGUCGAACGCGAAAGUGGAGCAAUCCAUGAGUAGAGUGGCAAACGGGUGAGUAACGCGUGGGUGACCUGCCUUCGAGUGGGGGAUAACGUUCCGAAAGGGACGCUAAUACCGCAUGACAUCCUGCCUUUGAAGAGGUGGAGAUCAAAGCUGGGGAUCGCAAGACCUAGCACUCGAUGAGGGGCCCGCGUCUGAUUAGCUAGUUGGUGGGGUAACGGCUCACCAAGGCAACGAUCAGUAUCCGGCCUGAGAGGGCGGACGGACACACUGGGACUGAGACACGGCCCAGACUCCUACGGGAGGCAGCAGUGGGGAAUUGUUCGCAAUGGGCGCAAGCCUGAUGACGCAACGCCGCGUGGAGGAUGAAGAUCUUCGGGUCGUAAACUCCUUUCGAUCGAGACGAACAGCCUUUAGGUGAACAAUCUGGAGGUUUGACGGUACCGAGAGAAGAAGCCCCGGCUAACUCCGUGCCAGCAGCCGCGGUAAUACGGGGGGGGCAAGCGUUGUUCGGAAUUACUGGGCGUAAAGGGCUCGUAGGCGGCCAACUAAGUCAGACGUGAAAUCCCUCGGCUUAACCGGGGAACUGCGUCUGAUACUGGAUGGCUUGAGUUUGGGAGAGGGAUGCGGAAUUCCAGGUGUAGCGGUGAAAUGCGUAGAUAUCUGGAGGAACACCGGUGGCGAAGGCGGCAUCCUGGACCAACACUGACGCUGAGUGAGCGAAAGCCAGGGGAGCAAACGGGAUUAGAUACCCCGGUAGUCCUGGCCCUAAACGAUGAAUGCUUGGUGUGGCGGGUAUCGAUCCCUGCCGUGCCGAAGCUAACGCAUUAAGCAUUCCGCCUGGGGAGUACGGUCGCAAGGCUGAAACUCAAGGAAUUGACGGGGGCCCGCACAAGCG
rnacentral:rRNA from 1 species